GAUGAACGCUGGCGGCGUGCCUAAUACAUGCAAGUCGAGCGAACGGACGAGAAGCUUGCUUCUCUGAUGUUAGCGGCGGACGGGUGAUUAACACGUGGAUAACCUACCUAUAAGACUGGGAUAACUUCGGGAAACCGGAUCUAAUACCGGAUAAUAUUUUGAACCGCAUGGUUCAAAAGUGAAAGACGGUCUUGCUGUCACUUAUAGAUGGAUCCACGCUGCAUUAGCUAGUUGGUAAGGUAACGGCUUACCAAGGCAACGAUGCGUAGCCGACCUGAGAGGAUGAUCAGCCACACUGGGACUGAGACACGGCCCAGACGCCUACGGGAGGCAGCAGUGGGGAAUGUUGGACAAUGGGGGCAACCCUGAUCCAGCCAUGCCGCGUGAGUGAAGAAGGCCUUCGGGUUGUAAAGCUCGUGCGGCAGGAACGAAACGGUGGGCUCUAACAUAGUCCGCUAAUGACGGUACCUGAAGAAGAAGCACCGGCUAACUACGUG
rnacentral:rRNA from 1 species